ensembl:snRNA U1 U1 spliceosomal RNA
UCUCAUACCUGGCAGGGGAGAUACCAUGAUCAUCAAAGUGUUUUUCCCAGGGUGAGGCUCAUCUAUUGCACUUUGGAGGUGCUGACCCCUGUGAUUUUCCCAAAUAUGGGAAAAUCAACUGCCUAAGUGGGGGACUGUGUUUGUGGUUUCCACCUAGUUUUUCUAGAAUUACUCUUUCCCCUU